GAUGAACGCUGGCGGCGUGCCUAAUACAUGCAAGUAGAACGCUGAAGGAGGAGCUUGCUCUUCUGGAUGAGUUGCGAACGGGUGAGUAACGCGUAGGUAACCUGCCUGGUAGCGGGGGAUAACUAUUGGAAACGAUAGCUAAUACCGCAUGACAACAGUUAUUGCAUGAUAACUGUUUAAAAGGGGCAACUGCUCCACUACCAGAUGGACCUGCGUUGUAUUAGCUAGUUGGUGAGGUAACGGCUCACCAAGGCGACGAUACAUAGCCGGCCUGGGAGGGGGGUCGGCCACACUGGGACUGGGACACGGCCCAGACUCCUACGGGAGGCAGCAGGAGGGAAACUUCGGCAAUGGACGGAAGUCUGACCGAGCAACGCCGCGUGAGGGAAGAAGGGUUUCGGAUCGUAAAGCUCUGUUGUAAGAGAAGAACGAGUGGGAGAGUGGAAAGUUCACGCUGUGACGGUAUCUUACCAGAAAGGGACGGCUAACUACGUG
rnacentral:rRNA from 1 species